rnacentral:snRNA from 1 species
AUCGCUUCUCGGCCUUUUGGCUAAGAUCAAGUGUAGUAUCUGUUCUAUCAGUUUUAAUAUCUGACUACCGUCCUACCCGGGGACCAUAUAUUAAAUUGAUUUUUGGAAGAGGGAUGGGAAUGGGGCUUGCCUCGUCCACUCCACGCGUCCAUCGACUGGUAUUGCAGUACUUCCUGGAAACGGUGCAUCCACC